GCCAGGAUGGCUCAGUCGGUAGAGCGGCGCACUCGUAAUGCGCAGGUCCCGGGUUCGAUUCCCGGUUCUGGCU
rnacentral:tRNA from 1 species